rnacentral:lncRNA from 1 species
CUCUGACUAUAAAUUCAAUUUUUUUUUGGCUCCUUGACUGUCCAUUUUGUCAACUCUGGCCACGAAUCUUAAGUGUCAAGAACAGCUAUUAGAACAAGAUGGUGCAUCACUGUUAUAAUUCCAGGUAAGAUGAUUCAAGUUGUCUAUUGUGAUGCCCACAGAAAACAUUCUGAUGUGAUGGAGAAGCUGCAAGGAUCACUUUUCUUCCUCCAUCUCAAAUGGAAUGAAAAGAGUAUGUUCGGGACUGAGACCCAGAUCUUUGAUCCCCAGCCUUGGACUACUGAUGAUCAUUUACCCACAGAGAUUUCUGUUUCCUGCAUUAUAUCAAUAAUGGCUCUUCUUUCUGGGAUACAGAGUCACAGAAUCAGUCAAACCCUGACAUAUGUUGUUUUAUGUGUCUAUACAUCUAGGAGCCCCAAGUGAGAGGAAACAUGCAACAUUUAUCUUUAUGAGUUGCAUUUAUUUGUCUAAUAUGGCUAUCUUUGGUUGUGCCAAUUUGCUUACAAAUCACAUAACUUCAUUUUUUUUCUCUUGG